AAAGGGCAAUGCUCCGACAGAAGAACAUCACAAAGUCGAGAGCAGAGAGCGCCUCGUAGCAUCAGCAAGUAUUCCUUGCCAGGUUCCUGCUUCAGUUGUUCUGCUGUCUCUGUGAACUCGACCGCGGCGUCGACCAUGAGCUACCCACCACCGGGCACCGCGUACCCGCCGCCGGGCCAGGAGGCCUACCCGCCUCCAGGGUACGGCGCGCCGCCGCCUGUCGCCGCUAACUACCAGCAGCAGGCCCCGCCGCAGGACUCGCAGGACCGCGGCGGCGACGGCUUCUGGAAAGGAUGUUGUGCUGCUAUUUGCUGCUGCUGUCUGCUCGACAUGUGCUUCUGAUCACAAGUUCCUACUGCCAGCAGCAGGCAAUCCGACGAUGAUCUACUCACUCAGAGCUGCUCAUAGUUGACCAUGGUUAUUUCUAUUGUAGUAUUUGUGCUGUUCGGGUGGAGAUUUGUAUGGGUUGUACUAGUUAAUUUUGCAUCUGGGUUUUGGCUUCAUUCUGUAUCACGGUAUUGUUAUUGGCAGAGUCUUAGUCUCUUCAGUUUGUUGGUGAUGAAUAACACGUAGCGGUAGCAUGCGAGAAUUCUUGACGACAUACCGACGAUUUUGAUUGUCUGUUCCAGUUGAUUUGAUUCAUGCUCCAAA